rnacentral:misc_RNA from 1 species
UACGUAGGUGACAAGCGUUGUCCGGAUUUAUUGGGCGUAAAGCGCGCGCAGGCGGUCCUUUAAGUCUGAUGUGAAAUCUCGGGGCUCGACCCCGAGCGGGCAUUGGAAACUGGAAGACUUGAGUACAGAAGAGGAGAGUGGAAUUCCACGUGUUGCGGUGAAAUGCGUAGAUAUGUGGAGGAACACCAGUGGCGAAGGCGACUCUCUGGUCUGUAACUGACGCUGAGGUGCGAAAGCGUGGGGAGCAAACAGG